UAAACAUAGGUCGGUCAAGAAUCUUCACUGAUGUAUUUACAUCCUUUUAUGGAUAUAUUUAAGUGAUCUUCCUUUUCAUGGUCCUCUUAGAUGAGAGGUUUGCCUAGGAUUCUCCUCCUAUGAUGGUGGCGAUAUAUGUGCACUUAUCUUUGUUGGUCUCUUUACUCUCGCCACUAAUUCCUUCUUUGGUAUAUUUAGACGGAGACUUGCCCUUGGGUUAUUCCUCCCAUUCUCUUUUGUCCGCUUUCAUGUAAUAGACUGAUUAGUCUCUUUUGAUCAAUCCUUUGAUGACAUCCUUUAGUUGGAUGUAGAUGUCAGUGUUGUGGUCGUGUCCUUUAUGAAAGAGGCAAUACUUCAACUUAUUUGUCAGAGACUACUGUCAAAUAGGGAAAGGGGUCUGAUUCCCCAUCUUCAGAAUUUUAUGUUGGCAUAGUCCUGGUAUUUCUUUUCCAUGGAUACAUUUAGUGGCAUGUACUUGUCGUAUCAUCCAUGUUUUCCAUGGUCAAGCUCGUCCUUCCGCCAAUGAGAAUCCCUCCCGGAGGUAGGAUUUUCGAAUAACAUAUCCAGUUUCUCCUCCAGGAUUAUGUAAGAGUGGCCAUGAUCAACUUCUCCUAAGUGGUUAUCACAUUCUUCCUUCAGAUGUGGAUUGACUGCAUUUUGCAAAACAACAACAUGAAGAAGUGUUCAAAGUGUUCAAGAUUAAUCUCACAUGCUUAAGCUGUAUGAAGGUGCAGAAGGGGAACAUGUUGGACACAAUGUCACAUAACGUUGGUACGACAUAUGGGUCUUGCGCAACAGGUGGACAAAGUUUGAAUUUAAUUUGAAACAAAUCAUAUCUUAUUGGUGAGAUUUAUGGAGAAAAUAAUAUCCAAUAAAUUCUGCAUUAAUUUUGGGCGAAAUUAAAGCUAAUAUCCAAGGAGAAAAACCCAAAGUUAUUAUGCUAUAUAAGGAGCUCAAACGUACAUUGGAAAGCAAGCAUUCACAUUGAAGAUUUUAGAGUGCUAGGGUUUACAAGAGUCCUUGUUAUUUCAUGUACACCUCUAUGUUUCAGUAACUUGGCAUAAAAGGUUUGUCUAGUUGAGUUGUAUAUUCAACAUAUUUAUGUACACCUAUAUGUUUAAGUAACUUAACGUAUUUGUCUAGUUGAUUUUUAAUAUUCGACAUUGAUAAUUGAGUGAAUCACCAAUCACUAGGGUUUAGUGAUUGAGAGAAAAUGAGAGAGUUUCUCAUAUUUAGGGCGAGUCCUAAGUAGAAAGUCAUUGGAUAAUGUUAGGAAGAGGCAUUGAACAACAUAGAGUUUGUUAUUGCUUGUAAGACUAAUUGUAAGGUUGAAAGCUAACCCUCCUUAAGUAGGUGUUGUUUACAUUGAACUGAGUUACCAAUUGUUGCGCUCUUU